CGGGCCCCAGGGCUUCCGGGGCAGCACAAAGCUCGUCAUCACAGUUCCGCUCACUGACUCGCCUGGCACCUAGCAACGUGGGACUCCACUAGCCUUUCCUUAGGCGCCGCGCUAGCCAAUCACGAGCCACGUCGUGUCCCAGCAGCCAAUCCGAAGGCCCGUCAGCGUAAUCGCCUUGCCCGUGGCUCUUCUUUUGUUGGGUUGGUGGGUGAUUCUGGUGCAACCGCCAGUGUUUUCUCCGGUCUCUAUGUCCUGGCGCGCAAUCCGGCUCCAUCGCCCCUUCCUUGACGCUGCUUGAGAGAAUGUGAAAGAGAGAGGCAGAGAGCAGGCCCAGACUGACGAGGGGAUCGCUGCGCUUCGUCUUACAGCCCUGUGAUGCGGAGUUGGGAGUCGGAGCGCUUGGUGCGCUUGGCUGUGUGGAUGUGGACCCUUGGGGGAGCCUGAGUAUGAAUAUGCGCCGGUAAAGGAACAAUACUCUUGAUUUAUGUGGAAGAUGAUUAUGAAAUACACAGGAAAGGUAAGGUAGUGUAUCUGUUUUAGGGAUACAAAGAAUUCUGGGAGGGAUCACACUGACUUGGAAAUGGAUGCAUGAGAGGCUGGUUGAAGGCAUUUGCUUGAUAUAUAAAAAUAUUUUUAAAAGAAAUGUCUUUAAUCCCAACUUGGAAGGCCGAGGUAGGAGAAUCACUGAGUUUGAGGCCAGCCGAGGACAGCAGUACAGUUCCAGGUCAGCCUGGGCUGGAGUGAGACUAUGCCUUGAAAAAUAGAAGAACUGGAUGAUUGCCAAGUAACUGCUGGAUUUCUAAAGGCUCUGGCAUAAAGUCAAAAAGAUGUUUUUCUUAAAAGUCAUUGGUUGAAUUUAAUUGAUCAAGAUUGUGAAGAUUUAUGUAAGCUGCUGUCCUGAAAACCCAGGCCUGGCCCAUAGUCACAGCAACCAGUCAGCUGCCCUCCUGUGCCAGAAGGAGGUGAGAACCCAGGCGAAACAGCCAUGAUCCACCCUCUGUGAGCAAGUGGUUCAUGCCUACUGCUCAUUUGUCUCACUUAAUAAACGUCCCUUUUUCUA